UACGUAGGGACCAAGCGUUGUUCGGAUUUACUGGGCGUAAAGGGCGCGUAGGCGGCGCGGUAAGUCACUUGUGAAAUCUCUGAGCUUAACUCAGAACGGCCAAGUGAUACUGCAGUGCUAGAGUGCAGAAAGGGCAAUCGGAAUUCUUGGUGUAGCGGUGAAAUGCGUAGAUAUCAGGAGGAACACCGAUGGCGAAGGCAGAUCUCUGGGCCGUAACUGACGCUGAGGAGCGAAAGCAUGGGGGAGCGAACAGG
rnacentral:rRNA from 1 species